rnacentral:rRNA from 1 species
UACGUAGGGUGCAAGCGUUAAUCGGAAUUACUGGGCGUAAAGCGUGCGCAGGUGGUUAUGUAAGACAGGUGUGAAAUCCCCGGGCUAACCUGGGAACUGCAUUUGUGACUGCAUAGCUAGAGUACGGUAGAGGGGGAUGGAAUUCCGCGUGUAGCAGUGAAAUGCGUAGAUAUGCGGAGGAACACCGAUGGCGAAGGCAAUCCCCUGGACCUGUACUGACGCUCAUGCACGAAAGCGUGGGGAGCAAACAGG